rnacentral:lncRNA from 1 species
UCCUAAAUACCCUAACUUAGGAAAUCCUAUAAAUAGAGGACCAUUCUUAAUAAAUUCUCACCAAUUCACAAAGUUAGAGCAAGAGAAGAUUGAAAAUUACAAGAAUACUUGUUAGUUGAAAGAAGGAAGGAUAACAAAAGGCUUAAUUACUCAAGUAUUGUAAAGCUUGCACUUCAAGAGGUAAAUAAAUCAUGUUUUUUUAUUUCUAGUUUAUGUUCUUAUAUGUUCUUGAGUAGGAUUCAUGAAAUAAUAUAUGUUUAGAUUUAUGAUUAUGUAAUACAAUGUUAUCAAGUCAUAAAAGAUGAAAACUAAUUAAUUAACCCAAGUGGUAACUAGUUAGAGAGAUUGAAAGUAUGAAAUGAGAAACCCCUAAUCUGAACUGUUAUUGUAAAAGUUAUAUAAAAUCAUAUGUUUGAAAUUUGGUUAUGAAAUACAAAGCAAAGUUGUAAAGAUGGAAGUUACGAAUGCGUGGGAUUUUGAACGACUCAAAAAUGUUUUAAAACGAAGAAGUUAUGGCCGUUUAACCGAGUCGGGUCGGACUGCGAGCAAGUUGUCCACUUUAUAAAAAGUCCCUUAAAAAUGAGUUUUUGAGUUUGAGCAUUUUAUUUUUACGAAUAAAACCCCACUAAUGAAAAUAGUCUAGUUAAGUUAUAAAAACACUUAUUAAGAAGUAAAAUUCGAUAAACUAAUAUUCGGGUACACGUAACUCAUUAUGUAGGGUUUUAAACGUUUACCGAAAAAUCCUAGUUUGCAUUCGAAACAAGUCUUCUAUCUCAAACCUAUGUGCAUCUAUUUUCUAAGCUUGUUCAUGUGAUAGUUGAUAUGUGAAAGUAUAUGUAUGAAAGCCUUAUGUGAUUUUAAGUAGGAUAUGAUGAUUAAAUGUUAAGUGUUUAAUGAUAUGUUAUGUCAUAUAUGAUUAUGUUAUAUCAUUAAGCAUGAGUUAACAUGACCGUUAACUGAAAGUUUUGUUAAGUCAAGCAUGUUAAAGUUUAUAUGAAAGCAUAAGUUGUGUAUGUGUUAUUUGUUAGACUUGUUGAGCCGUUGUGCUCAUUCUUGCGAAUAAAACUUUAUUUGCAGUUAAAGAAGAAUGAUAAUAAAUUAUGAACGUAAAGAAGAAGUGUAUAUUAGGUUACAUGUUUUACUUGCUUGUAUUUAUAUUAAGUCAUAAUGACUUCUGUAAUACGAACAAGUAAACUAUGUAAUCGAAGAUUACAUUAAUAAUAUCAUGUUAUUAUCAUCAGAAUGGUAUUAUGUCUUUAAUUUGAUACAACUUAGAAUUGUUGAAGAUCUAUUAAUCUGAGUGAGGGUAUUGGUAAUAUGAACUGAUCAUGUUAUGUCGAUACUCUAAACUUCAGAUAGAUAGAAAAACAUUAAUACAAUAUUGAUAAAGAACUAUAUAUCUGAAUGAAGAUAUUGAAUAACAUUGUAAGUGCUAUAAAAACAGAGAUUUAGCACCGAUGAAGAAAUCAAAUACAUCGCAAGGUUCCUCUGUUCCAAGUACAAUUGUGUUAUUAAUAUUGUGAAUUUCAGAUAAAUAGGAAAUAUCGAUAUGAAAAGAUAUCUUUAUAAUAAUAUGUAUCUAAGUGAUAGUAUUGAAUGAUAUUGGGAGUUCUGUAAGCACUACACUAAUGAGCGCCGGUAAGAUGCUAAAAUUACCAGAAUGCGACCCUCUGUUGCUAUGAACAAUAUUUGUUAUUAAUACGGUAAACCUUAGAUAUAUAGAAGUCUUAAAUGUCUAAAUCAUAAGGUUAAAAAUUUGACCGAUAUAUAUGGUGUUAUCCAUAUAUACGAAUGAACUACAAGUUGAUACUUGUAGAAAGAAUGAGAUCGAGAUCAAAUUACGAUCCAGAGAUGAAGUUAAGGAAAUUUAUAAUUUUAUAGUCUGUAAUAGACUAAUUCAACCAAUAUGAUUAUGAGAUCCUUGGUUAAGUUACGAAAGAUGAUGAGUUAAGUUGAACCCUUGUUCGGGUGGCCAACGCUCGAAUUCGGGGGCGUUACAACAACACCAGGAGAUGGAAACGGUGGCCAAAGGAUUAGGAUCCAUGUUAACUCUCUUUUUUCCCUUUCGUACCACACAACCUACUUAUAGACGAAAAUGACAGAGGUUCAUAUUAUCAACUGCACUGGAAUAUGUAGAUGCUAAAGUUACCGUUUUCCAACAAGAAAUGUUUUUUGUUCUUUUAAUUUCAACUCAACAUUGUAAUAUCCGGAUGUAAAAAAAAGUAAUGAUAUAAUAAAACAAAAAUAAAUAUACAUAUCUUGAAAAAGUAAUUAUUAGUAUCUUAAACCUAUUAGGAUAAGUCAAUUAAACUGUAACAAUCUUUUAAUUUCAAAAAAAACUCUUUUACUUGGUAACCUAUUUUGCAAAUGAAUUAAAUAUAUUUAAAUAACUAGAGAGAGAAGAAUGUAAAAACUAUUUGGAUUUAGAGUACUGCAGAACAGAAAAGAAGAAAACUCAAAGGUAAACAUUAACCCUUCUUUUUCAAUUAUAAGUUAAUUCAUAUUUGUAAUUAGAAAUUUUAAAUCAAUGAUUAUAAUAUAUAUACUCUAUCUGAAUAAAAGAGAUUUUGAAAUACUAUUCAUAUUUUGUGGGAGUAACCUGUUUAAUAAGCUCGUGUAUGUGUUUAAGGGGAGUGCAAAAUCUGAUUGUUCAUGGUCUAUGAAUAUAUAUAUAUGUGAAUUGUUGCGGUAAUUUUAUAUAUACUACAUAUAUUUUGAGAGCACAUAACAUUAUAUAUAUAUAUGUGUGUGUGUGUGUGUGUGUGUGUGUAUUAUAUAUAAUACAUAUAGUACAUCAGUAGCUUUUGUGCACAUUUAUAUUAUAUAUUAUUUAAAGUAUUUUGUAUGGUAGUUAGGCCUUGCCACUUAAUGGCAGUGUGCCUAGUUUCCCUUGUUCCAUGGUGGAUACUAUCAUGUUUCUUUAAAGUAAUGACGGUCUGCUUUUAAUCAGUUUAUAUCUUCUAUAGUUACAUAUAUAUAUAUAUAUAUAUAUAUAUAUAUAUAUAUAAAAGAGGCUUAUUUAUAUAGAUAAAUAGCAUAAUAAUUGUUAAACUGAGACCAAAACUUAUUUUCUUUAUUAAAUUUAUAUUUUAACACUUAAACAUAUAAUUAGGGUAUAUGUGUGUGUAAGACGAAGCAGCUACUAGAAAAAAAAGUAGUCGCCGCUAAGUAAAGCUAUUCGAAAGCUUAUUGGAGGCCCCAGAAACAACUGGUGGGACUAAGCUUUCUAUUUGAGGGGGAGUAGGAUAAGGUCAAUGUAAGUAGUUUUUCGACCAUAGGAUCCAAACGGAUCAACCUUGUUGGGAGGUACUGCCCAAGGAAAGGAAAUACGUUUGAGUGAGGAUAUCUUAUCUUAAUGAUUUGUACAUGUUCUAAUUUUAUAGUUAGGAUUUGUUCGCUUUUAAUUUUGUGUUUCGCAAUAUCGAGAUAAGUGGCUCUCUGAACUAUUUAGUAUUUUGAAAUUAUGUAUUGUAAGUUGUUUUCCGAACUAUUUAGUUUUUUAAAUUAUCGUUUACUUUUAUGUAUGCCUUAGUAAUUACUCGGAUGCCUAAAUGUACUAUUUCAAAAUUUGUUUAAGGCUUCCAUUUAAAUUAAAAUGAUACGUUCUUCUAUUUCAAACUUCGGAUCAAGUAUUUAUUUUUUAUCUGUGAAAUGGAAUUAUAUGAUUUUGAACUAUGAAAUAAGUAUAGUUUUGAAUACCAAUGAGAUUGUGAAACGUUUUUGAAAUCCUCAGUUCGACUAUGUAUAGAAAGUUGUUUACGCUUAGUUCCGGAGCUAAUAUAGGACCUACUAAAGCGCACACCUUUUAGAUGCCCUUCGGGGAACAUGCAUUUUAUAUUAUAGAUAUCUUAGUAGGGUGCGUGAUCAUUGAUAUUAUCGAACUUUUGGGCCGUGUAAUAAGGUCGCUAAAGCUGUGGAUUAAAAGAUAUAUUGCAUACAUUGAAAUCAUUUUUAAAUAUGAAUUCGCUUUGUUGCUUUGUUAUUAAUUGUUUUAGUUUUGAAAACAAACCUACUAAUGUUAUCAAACAAGAGUUAUUUCUAAAAUGUGUUUUGCAAAUUAUACUUGAUCCAUCUAAAUAGUAAAGAUCGUCACUUGUUGAGCUUUAUCGCUUACCCCUUACCCCUUACCCCUUACAUAAAUUUUCAGGUCGCAUCGUUGAUAGUUGAGCAUUUGUUUGAUACACGUGGGAUAGUUGGAGUUUAAUUUUAGAUGUUAUUUCUUUUUGUUGUUGAAUUUUGAUAAAACUCUUAGUUUCGGGGAGCUACGUUUUACGAUUUUGGUAUUUAGUGGUAUUUUAUUUUGAAUUGGAUUGAAGGAUGUUUAUUGUUGGGUUUUAAUUUAAGGUUAUUGUUGAGUUGUUUUGUUGGGUUGUGUGCUAUUGAUAUUUUUGUCUCGCAGGCCUUUGGGCUUGCGACGUGUAACACUUCGGACUUCGGGGUGUUACAAACAUAAUACCAUAAAAAUAUUUCAAAUUUACCUGCAAGUUGUUCCAAGAGUUUGAGAAUUGUGAAUAAAUUUUAAAAGAGGGGUGCAAGGAAAAGAUAGUAUGAACUUUUCUGUGGUAAAUGUUACAAAAAAAGGUCAAGUGUGACAUGGA